GACGAACGCUGGCGGCGUGCUUAACACAUGCAAGUCGAACGGAAAGGCCCUGCUUGUGUGGGGUGCUCGAGUGGCGAACGGGUGAGUAACCCGUGAGUAACCUUCCCUGGACGUUGGGAUAACUUCAGGAAGCUGGGACUAAACCCGAAAGGCUGCGCGAGCGAGUGGGGGGGGUUGGGAAGUUUCGGUGGUUGGGGAUGGUACGCCGGCUUAACAACUUGGUGGGGGGGUAGUGGCCUAACGAGGCGUUGCGGGGUAGGCGGCCUGGGAGGGUGACCCGCCACCUUGGGACUGAGAUACGGCCCAGACUCCUACGGGAGACAGCAGUCGGGAAUCUUGUACAGUGGGCGGAAGCCUGAUGCAGAGGCGCUGCGUGUGGGAUGAAGGCCUUGGGGUUGUAAACCGCUUUAGCCUGUGACGAAGCGUGAGUGACGGUAAUGGGUAAAGAAGCACCGGCUAACUACGUG
rnacentral:rRNA from 1 species